rnacentral:lncRNA from 1 species
GUCUUCCCCGCGCGCCUUGGAUCUGGGGCAAUAGCUGAGAGGGCGUCACCAGCGUGUCGGCGCCUGCGGUUUUCUUCGGGCUGUCCCCAGGCGUCGUGCCCGCGUCCGUCACGCGCGGUGGCUUGCAGGGGCGCACCGCGACAGCCUUAAAGGAAAACCUGUUAGGGACAAGGGCUGCUGUGGGCAGCGAGGGUUAUAGACUCAUGUGUGUUCUGAAUUCUGGUGGGGGUAGUGAUGGACGCUGACCCAGUUCACAGAAUUAUCUGACUGGCGAAGUAAAGGAAAAAAGGUCAAGGUGAACUGAAGAAAAUAAGUCUUUCCCCAAAGGAGGUAGAAGAUGGGGAAGAUGAGAUGUCAGAAGCUAAGGACAAUGGCAGUAGAGAUGAGGUUCUUGUCCCUCAUAAGAAUUGCAGGAAGAAUACCACUGUCCCGGGAAAGAAAGGGGAGGAAAAGUCUCUGGCUCCUGUGUUUGCUGAGAAGUUAAUAUCACCAAGCAGGAGGGGAGCCAAGCUCAAGGACCGUGAGAGCCACCAGGAGAAUGAAGACAGGAACAAACCUAUCAAAGAAACACCUGAUAAACAAAAGAAGGAAAUGGCCAAUCAGAAAGAGUCCCCUGGAGCCAAAAAGCAGAAAUUAGAAGGUAACAGGCCGGGCACGGUGGCUUACGCCUGUAAUUCCAGCACUUUGGGAGGCCGAGGCGGGCGGAUCACGAGGUCAGGAGAUCAAGACCAUCCUGGCUAACACAGUGAAACCCUGUCUCUACUAAAAGUACAAAAAAUUAGCCGGGCGUGGUGGCGGGUGCCUGUAGCCUCAGCUACUCGGGAGGCUGAGGCAGGGGAAUGGCGUGAACCCAGGAGGUGGAGCUUGCAGUGAGCCGAGAUUGCGCCACUGCACUCCAGCCUGGGCAACAGUGCCAGACUCUGUCUCAAAAAAAAAAAAAGAAAAAGAAAAAGAAAAGAAAUUAGAAGGUAGCGUGUUGGCCGUGGUUUAAGGCACAGGAGAUGCAUGGAGAAUGUCACAUUGGCAAAAACUUAGUCUCCAUUAGCCCAAAUGAGCAACAAUGGGAUUUGCUACAGAAGCUUGGUGUUACAAUUUUCAGUGGAUUUUCUUUUAGUGCUACUUUUUCUGAACUGAGUUCUUUUUUUUUUUUUUUACCUUUUUGUGUAGCAACUGAACCACGUGUAGCAUUCCAACUGUUUGUUGGAAACCUGAAUUUCAGCAAAACUGCUGCUGAACUAAAAGUUGGCCUCAGUGAAUUUUUUGCUAAAAAUGAUCUUGAAGUUGUUGGUGUCAAAGUUGGCUUGUCCAGGUAAAUACCAAUCAACUAAGAAGGUUUUUAAGAGCAUAUCAGCCCAGCACUUACUAUUCCUGGAGAAUUUAGAUGUUCCAGUAGCUUUGUAGUACUUCAUGAUGGUUCAUAGGCUGCUGUCUUCUCAGGUCCUUUUGUUACCUGCUCUUCACCCUUUGGUGGGAUUUUACCUCAGUCACUCGCAGUUUAAAAUGAAUAUGUAAAAUCCUUCAGUGGCUCAUGUUUAGUAAAUCUGUUAUAUUAAACUUUGCUACCCCAUUUUCCCAACCAAAAUAUUAAAAUAAUCCCAAGAUCUUCCAAGUCUUAGAGACAGGGUCUUGCUAUUUUACUCAGGCUGGUCUCAAACUCCUGGGCUCAAGUGAUCCUUCCACCUCAGCUUCCCAAAGUGCUGGGAUUACAGGUGUGAGCCACUGUGCCCUGCCUAUUUCUUAAAAAUUAAAAAAAAAAAUUUUUUUUUUUGAGACAGUCUCCGUCUGUCGCUCAGGCUAGAGUGCAGUGGUGCGAUCUCACUGUGGCCUGCCUGUUUCUUAAAAAUUCCAAAAAAAAAUUUUUUUGAGACAGUCUCCCUCUGUCGCUAGAGUGCAGUGGCGCGAUCUCAGCUUACUGUAGUCUCUACCUUCCAGGUUCAAGCAAUUCUCCUGCCUCAGCCUCCCGAGUAGCUAAGAUUACAAGCGCCUGCCACCAUGCCCAGCUAAUUUUUGUAUUUUUAGUAGAGACGGGGUUUUGCCAUGUUGCGCAGACUGGUCCUGAACUCCUGGUCUCAAGUGAUCCGUCAGUCUCAGCCUCCCAGAGUGCUGGGAUUACAGGUGUGAACCCCUGCACCGAGCCAAAAAUAAAUACAUAAAUAAAUAACUUUUUUUGAAACAGGGUCUCACUCCGUUGCCCAGGCUGGAGUGCAGUGGUGUGAUCAUGGCUCACUGCAACCUCUGCCACCUGGACUCAAACAAUCCUCCCACCUCAGCCUCCUGAAUAGCUGGGACUACAGGCACACAUCACCAUGCCUUUUUUGUACAUGAGGUUUCGCCAUGUUGCCCAGGCUGAUCUCAAACUCCUGAGCUCAAGUAAUCCUCCCACCUCAGCCUCCCAAAGUGCCGGGAUUACAGGUGUGAACCAUUGCGCCCAGCCAAAAUUUGUAAUUUCAAGCCACACUUUCUAUAGCUCUUGGUUAAAUUUUGUCAGUUGUUAAGCAGAAAACCAAUAGAGAUGUCAAUAGGCAAACUCUGCACUGAUUCUCAGUCCUUGCUCUAGAACGAGGUCUCUUGACUUCAGCAUUACUGACAUUCUGGGCUGGACAAUUUUUUUUUGGAGACAGGGCCUCUGGCUCUUUCAUCCAGGCUGGAAUGCAAUGGUGCGAUCUCGGCUCACUGCAACCCCUGCCCUCCAGCUCAAGCCAUCUUCCCACGUCAGCCUCCUGACUAGCUGGGACCACAGGCAUGUACCACUAUGCCUGGCUAAUUUUUGUGUGUGUGUAUUUUCUGUAGAGACAGGAAAUACAUGUUGACCAGGCUGGUCUCAAACUCCUGAGCUCAAGCAGUCUGCAUGCCUUGGCCUCGCAAAGUGCUGGGAUUGCAGGCAUGAGCCACUGCACCGGGUCUGGGCUGGGCAGUUCUAUGUUAUGGUGGCUGUCCAGUUCAUUGUGGGAUGUUUAGCAACCUCCCUGGAUUCUACCCAUUAGACACUAGAUGAUUCCCUGUUUGUAACAGCCAAAAAUGUCUCUAGAGAUUGUCAAGCUUGCCCCCUGGGUAAGAACUAGUUCUCCAUAGUUACUUCAUAGUACUGACUGCCAGUUUGUGGAGCCUUGCUUUUAAACUGUAAAUUAGGCAGCUGCUCGUGACUUAGUGCUAAUUUCUAUUCCAACAGCUAGCGUGAUUAGCUAACCAGAGGCAUAUGCUUUUCAUCUUACCUGUGUGUGCUUUUUCCCUUUUCUUCUACAUCUCUGUAGGAGAUUUGGUUAUGUGAAUUUUUUUUUUUUUUUUUGAGACAGUCUUGCUCUGUCGCCCAAGCUGGAGUGCAGUGGUGCGAUCUUGGCUCACUGCAAGCUCCGCCUCCCAGGUUCCCGCCAUUCUCCUGCCUCAGCCUCCCAAGUAGCUAGGACUACAGGCGCCCACCACCACACCCGGCUAAUUUUUUUGUAUUUUUUUAGUAGAGACGGGGUUUCACUGUGUUAGCCAGGAUGUUCUCGAUCUCCUGACCUCGUGAUCCACCUACCUCAGCCUCCCAAAGUGCUGGGAUUACAGGCGUGAGCCACCGCGCCCGGCUGGUUAUGUGAAUUUUAAAUCUGCUGAUCAAGAAAAAGCCUUGGAACUAAGUGAUACAAAAGUCCUUGGGUAUGAAAUUAAAGAAACCAAAGGGAAAGGAAACAAAGGUAUGCAAACAAGGUAAUUUGUUCAAAGGUAUCCAUGUGUCUAGAAGAUUCUGGGUCAGGCAGGAAUAUCACAUUCUUUCUAAUUUGAUGCAAGUAGUCCUCAGUUUCCGACAGGCCACCUGCCUCCGUGGCACCUUGCCCUCUCUCCUGUGCUUGAGCUGCAUGGCUCACCUUUCUCUGUCAUAACAUUCUUUCCAGGACUCAGUCUCUGGCUACUUGAAACCCAUCCAUCCAGUUUUAGCUUAAAUAUCACUUCCUCAGAUCAGAAAACUCUUUCCUUACCCCCACACUAGGGUAAACUUCUCUACUAGACUUCCUCAUUGCCCCUUUUACUUGUCCAUCCUGGCACUUAUCGAAGUUUAUAACUACAUGACCCUCAUUUACCAGUCUUCUCCAACAAGAACACAUUCCUGAGAGCAGAGGCCAAGUUCGUGUUUUCACAGCGAGCAUGUAGCACAGGCCCUACCCCAGAGUAUGUGUUCAAAUAUUUGUUAAACUAAUGAAGAUGUAUUGUUUCCACUUUGCAACUCUUUGAGGGGUAUUUUUUCUUUUUUCUUUUUUUUUUAAAACAGAGUCUCGUUCUGUCGCCCAGGCUGGAGUGCAGUGGUGCGAUCUUGGCUCACUGCAACCUCCACCUCCCGUGUUCAAGCCAUUCUCCUGCCUCAGCCUCCCGAGUAGCUGGGAUUACAGGCACGUGCUACCACACUCGGCUAAUUUUUUGUAUUUUUAGUAGAGACGGGGUUUCACUGUGUUAGCCAGGAUGGUCUUCAUCUCCUGACCUCGUGAUCUGCCCACCUCGGCCUCCCAAGGUGCUGGGAUUAUAGGCAUGAGCCACUGCGCCCCACCCGAGGGGUAUUUUUUCUAUCUUAGGGGACUUUUGAUGCUUACUAAAUCUAAACUCACCAAAAAUAUUCUUUUGUUUUUAUGUAGAUCAAAAUGCCAAAACACUUUUGAUCAAGAACCUGCCUGACAAAGUCACUCCACAUGAAUUAAAAGAAGUGUUUGAGGAUGCUUUUCAAAUCAGAUUAGUGAGCAAAGAUGGGAUGAGUAAAAAGUAUGUUUUGCACCUCGUACUGAAUAAGAAUGUAUGUCUACUGGAUACAAACAUAAUGGAAUUUCCUUACAUUCUCUCAAAUCUUUUAUGCCUGAUUUUAGAGAAGGAAAGAGUAGUUAUCCAGAUUUCUGCCAGUAGGCAUAAAAAGCCAAAGGGGACAUCAUAAAGGGACAGCCAAAACUCCUAGAAAACUGUAGUGGUGCUAUAGAGAAAUAGAGACUUCAUCUGCUACCAAGUACAAGAUUGAAGAUUGGAAUUUAUUCAUAGAUUAUGUACAUUCUGUCUUCUCUCUCCAGGGCUGACUCCACUAGAAUAAUGUACUUAGUAACUUGCUUGGACAGGUACCAAAAUAGCACAUAGAAUUGAAUUGUUAGGUUUAUGUUGUAACCAAUUAAUGAAACACUGUCCUUAGAUAUCUAGGCUUUGGUAGAGUAAGAGAGUGAAUAUGGUGAAAUUAGAGAGGGUGGAGUAUAAUAUAUUUUGAAGGGAUUGUCAUUGAGGUGAAAAUUGAGUAUUGGGUUUACAGAUACAUUUGAGCUAAAUAUGUUGGUGUAGGUGAACUCUAAAAUAAUCUGUAGCAGUAUGUUCUGAUGAACAUAAUCUCUAGAAAGAAUACUACAGAUCUUCAAGCAUAAGAUAGAACUGUAUGUAUUGACCUGGAAAGCCAUGAUAAAUAUGAGGAAACAAAUCUGAAAGAAUAAAUUCCAAAUUGUUAGCAGUGUUUACUAGGAGGAGAUUUGGGAGCACUCUGCCUAUAGUCUCCAGAAAACCAGCAAACAAGUUCCUGCCAAAAGCUAUAUAAUUUCUCGAAGUUUAAUUAGGUUUUAAUUAAAUAUACUUAAAUCUUUGUAAUCAUUUCUCUACCUGAAGAAUUACUGUAUCACUUCUCAGCCUUUUGGCUAAGAUCAAGUGUAGUAUCUGUUUUUUCAGUUUAAUAUCUGAUAUGUCCUAAAUUAAAAAUAAUAAAAAAUAAAUAAAGGGGAGAUAAGAGAAACCAGAGACUCCAUGGCCAUGUGAAAUAAAGCAUAGUACCUAUGCCAGAAAAGAGUGUGGUGCAGGCUGGGCAUGGUGGCUCAUGCCUGUAAUCCCAGCACUUUGGGAAGCUGAGGCUGGCGGAUCAUGAGGUCAGGAGAUUGAGACCAUCCUGGCCAACAUGGUGAAACCCCGUCUGUACUAAAAUACAAAAAAUUAGCUGGGCGUUGUGGCACGCUCCUGUAGUCCCAGCUACUCGGGAGGCUGAGGUAGGGGAAUUGCUUGAACCCGGGAGGCAGAGGUUGCAGUGAGCCAAGAUUGGGCCACUGCACUCCAGUCUGGUGACAGAAUGGGACUCCAUCUCAAAAACAAAACAAAACAAAAACAACAACAGAAUGUGGUGCAUUAUGUUUAAGAAUCUGACUCAGACCAGGCACGGUGGCUCAUGCCUAUAAUCCCAGCACUUUGGGAGGCCGAGGCGGGGGGAUCACCUGAGCUCAGAAGUUUGAGACCAGCCUGGCCAACGUGGUAAAACUCCGUCUCUAUUAAAAAUACAGAAGAUUAGCCAGUCAUGGUGGUACACACCUGUAAUCCCAGCUACUCAGGAGGCUGAGACAGGAGAAUCAUUUCAAGCCAGGAGGUAGAGGUUGCAGCGAGCAGAGAUCGUGCCACUUCACUCCAGCCUGGGCAAUGAGCAAAACUCUGUCUCAAGAAGAAAGAAUCUGACUCGAUAUGUCCUUAUUCAUACCUUUCACCAAAUUAAAUUACAGGUUCAUUAGAGAUUUCAUGUAAAAUAUGAAACCAUAAAGUAUUAGAGGAAGACAUAGAGAAUAUUUUUGGGUUUUAUUUGUUUUAAUAAUCUUCAGGAGAGGAAGGCCUUUUGAAGUAUGACACAAUCCUGGAAGUCCCAAAAGAAAAGUUAUAUAAAUUUGGCUAGGCACAAUGACUCACACCUGUAAUUCCAGCACUUUGGGAGGCCGAGGCGGGUGGAUCACCUGAGGUUAGGAGUUCCACACCAGCCUGGCCAACAUGGUGAAACCCUGUCUCUACUAAAAAUACAAAAAAAUUAGCUGAGCAUGAUGGUGGGCGCCUGUAAUCCCAGCUACUCGGGAGGCUGAGGCAGGAGAAUCGCUUGAACCCAGGAGGUGGAGGUUGCAGUGUGCUGAGAUCAUGCCAUUGCACAACAGCCUGGGUGACAAGAGCGAGGGAAACUCUGUCUCAAAGAAAAAAAAAAAAGAUAUAUAAAUUUGACUGCAGAAAUAUAUUUUUACAUGGAGGAAAAAAAAAUCCCCAUAAGCAAAGUCAAAAGACAAGUGACACACCAGGGAAAAAUAUUGGUAACUCAUCAAAACUGAAGACUGGUUUUACUGAUAUAAAAGUGCACCAGAGGCCAGGUGCAGUGGCUCACGCCUGUAAUCCCAGCGCUUUGGGAGGCCGAGGCAGGCGGAUCACCUGAAGUCGGGAGUUUGAGACCAUCCUGGCUAACAUGGUGAAACCCCGUCUCUACUAAAAAUAGAAAAAAUUAGCCAGGCAUGGUGGUAUGCGCCUGUAAUCCCAGCUACUCAGGAGGCUGAGGCAGAAGAAUCGCUUGAUCCCGGGAGGCAGAGGUUGUAGUGAGCCGAGAUCGCGCCACUGCACUCCAGCCUGGGCGACAAAGCAAGACUGCCUCUCAAAAAAAAGUGCACCAGGCCAGGCAUGGUGGCUCACGCCUGUAAUCCCAGCACUUUGGGAGGCUGAGGCAGGUGGAUCACCUGAGGUCAGGAGUUCGAGACCAGCCUGGUCAACAUGGUAAAACCCUGUCUCUACUAAAAAUACAAAAAAUUAGCCAGGCAUGGUGGCAGGCACCUGUAGUCCCAGCUACUUGGGAGGCUGAGGCACGAGAAUCACUUGAACCCGGGAGGCGGAGGUUAGUGAGCCGAGAUUGCACCAUUGCACUCCAACCUGAGCAACAAGAGUGAAACUCCAUCUUAAAAAAUAAUAAUAAAUAAAAAUAAAGCAUGUCCCCACGAUGAAACCUUCUGAAGGCCAGGUGUGGUGGCUCACGCCUGUAAUCCAAGCACUUUGGGAGGCCAAGGUGGGCAGAUCACCUAAGGUCAGGAGUUCCAGACCAGCCUGGCCAGCAUGGUGAAACCUGUCUCUACUAAAAACAGAAAAAAUUAGCCAGGCGUGGUGGCGGGCACCUGUAAUCCCAGCUACUCGGGAAGCUGAGGCAGGAGAAUCGCUUGAACCUGGGAGGCGGAGGUUGCAGUGAGCCGAGAUCGCGCCAUUGCACUCCAGCCUGGGCAACAGAGCAAGACUCCGUCUCAAAAAUAAAUAAAUAAAUAAAAUAAAAGUGCACCUAACAAAUGAGUAAGAAAAAUACCAACAAUUUAGGGGAAAUACAGGCAGGCUACAGACAGACAGGAACGGAGUUUUAAGCAUAGGAAAAGAUACUCAUCCUCACUCAUAGUAAAACAAUUUAAAAUAAAAUCUACACUGAGAUACAACUUUUUACCUAUCAAGUAGUCACAGAUCGAAAGGUUUGUUAGCACAGUGGAGAAGAGAGUAAAGAAACUGGCAUGCUCAUAGUUUGUUAUUGGAAGUGAAAUUGGAGAAAUCUCUAUGGAGAUUAGGUACUUAGCCAUAGCUACCAAAGUUACGGUUGCAGUUACCAUUUUAUCUUGCAGUUCCACUCCUAAGAAUUUAUCCUACAGAUAGUCUCAGACAAGUGUGAAAUAAUGUAUUGCAAAGUUGUUUGAUGCAAAAUUAGAAUUAACCUGAAUAUCAAGCAACAGGUGGUUAAAAUUGUCUGGCAGAUCCAUAAGAUAUUUUUCUAUAUAGCUGUAAAAAGGACUGAAAUCGCAUUUUGUGUACUGAAGGGAAAUAAUCUCCAGUAUACAUUAUUAAGUGAAAAAAGACAAAGUGUAUAUUAAGUGAAAAAAGACAGUGUGUACAGUAUUCUGCCUUUUAUGUAAAAACAUAAUGGAGAACACACUGUACACAAAAAAUAACAUGGAUCAAAGACCUAAAUGUAAGAGCUAAAACAUAAAAUCCUUAGAAGAAAACACACUUUGUGCACGACGAUUAAAGAAAAUUGAGAAGUUGGGCUUAAUCAAAAUAAAAAAUGUUUGUGUUUCAAAGGCCAUAUUUAAAAAGUCAAAAGAAAAUCUGUAGACUGGGCCGGGCGUGGUGGCUCACGCCUGUAAUCCCAGCACUUUGGGAGGCCGAGGCGGGCGGAUCACGAGGUCAGGAGAUCGAGACCAUCAUGGCUAAGAUGGUGAAACCCCGUCUCUACUAAAAAUACAAAAAAAGUUAGCCGGGCAAGGUGGUGGGCGCCUGUAGUCCCAGCUACUCGGAAGGCUGAGGCAGGAGAAUGGCGUGAACCUGGGAGGCGGAGCUUGCAGUGAGCCGAGAUAGUGCCACUGCACUCCAGCCUGGGCGAUAGAGCGAGACUCCUCAAAAAAAAAAAAAAAAGAAAAAGAAAAUCUAUAGACUUGCCGGGCACAGUGGCUCACGCCUGUAAUCCCAGCACUUUGGGAGGCCAAAGUGGGUGGAUCACCCGAGGUCAGGAGUUAGAGACCAGCCUGGCCAACAUGGCAAAACCCCGUCUCUACUAAAAAUACAAAAUUAGCCAGGCGCGGCGGUGAGCGCCUGUAAUCCCAGCUACUUGGGAGACUGAGGCAGGAGAAUCGCUUGAACCUGGGAGGUGGAGAUUGCAGUGAGCCGAGAUUGUGCCAUUGCACUCCAGCCUGGGCAACAAGUGAAACUCCGUCUCAAAAAAAAAGAAAAAAAAAAAUCUAUAGACUGGAAGAAAAUAUUUGCAAAUCAUAUAUCUGAUAAGGGACUUGUGUCCAGAUAUAUAAAGAACUCAUAUUACAAUUCAACAAUAAAAAGGCAACCCAAUUAAAAAAUGGGCAAAGGAUUUGAAUGGACGUUUCUCCAAACGAGGCAUAUGAAUGGCUGAUAAGCAUGCAAAAAGAUGCUCAACAUUAGUUGUUAGGGAAAUGCAAAUCAAAACCAUGAUGUGAUACACUUCACAUUCAUUAGAAUGGCUAGAAUAAAGAAGGCAAACCGUAACAAAUGUUGACAAGGAUGUGGAAAAGGUGGAGCCCUCAUAUGUUGCUGGUGGGAAUGUAAAAUAAUGCAGUUGCUUUGGAGAAGUUUGAUAGUUUCUCAAAAUGUUAAACAUAGAAUUGCCAUAUGGUCUAGAAAUUCUCUUAAGUAUCUACCUCAAAGAAAAGAAAACAUAUGUUCACACUCUCCUGCAAAUGUUCAUGUCAGCAUUAUUUAAUAGUCAAAAAGUAGAAAUGACCCAAAAUGUCUGUCAGUUGAUGGAUUGAUAAAGUAUGGUAUGUCAUUCUGUAUAUGACAUGUCCAGUAUAGCCAAAUCUAUAUAAACAGAAACUAGAGCAGUAGUUGCUUGUGGCUUGGAGUGAGAAUGGGUUGGGAGGAAUGAGGAGUGACUGCCGAUGGGUACUUUCGGGGACAAUACAAAUGUUCCAAAGUUAGUUUACAAUGAUGAUUGUACAGUUGUGUAAACGUAUUAGAAACCGUUGUAAAGUUUAAAUGGGUGGAUUUUAUGAUAUGUAAAUUAUAUCUCAAGCUUUUUAAGAAAAAUUGUGUGUGCAUAUACAUUUGCUUUUAUAUACACAGAAUGUUCCCUCUGUGGUUAGAAAUUGGGUGGCCUGGAAUAGGAAUAUAAGGAAGACUACACCAUAUCCUUUUUUUUUUUCCUUUUUCUACAUGUUCUAAACCAUAUCCUUUUCUACUUUUUGGAUUUUGAAUCUUGUAUAUUACUGAUUCAGAAGACAAAUAACUGUCUGUGGCCCUAAAUGCUGACUGUUCUUCUCUCCCUCACCUCAUCCCCACAAUUGCAGGAUUGCAUAUAUUGAAUUCAAGUCACAAGCUGAGACAGAGAGAGCCUUGGAAGAAAAGCAGGGAACAGAGAUUGAUGGGCUUGCCGUAGUUCUCGACCAUAUUGGAGAGAAAAGCCAGGGCCAAGAAACUAGAGAUAGAAAGAACAGCACCUGGAGAGGUGAGGGGUCCCAGAGCUCUGAGGAUUGAGAUUUACCAGGGUUGUCACAGGUGGAUCCCAAGGGAUCCUCUGGUAUGAGGUUAGGGGCACUCGGCACUUUAUUUUUUUAUUAUUAUUUUGAGACAGGGUCUCACUCCCUUCGCCCAGGCAGGAGCGCAGUGGCACAAUCAUGGCUCGCGGCAGUCUCGAUUUCCUGGGCUCAGGUGAUCCUCCUACCUCAGCCUCCCGAGUAGCCAGACUACAGAUGGGAAGGCCACUCAGCACUUUAUUUUUUAUUUUAUUUUAUUUUAUUUUUAUUUAUUUAUUUUUUUAGAGGGAGUCUCUCUCUGUCGCCCAGGCUGGAGUGCAGUGGCACAGUCUCGGCUCACUGCAACCUCUGCCUCCCAGGUUCAAGCGAUUCUCCUGCCUCAGCUUCCCGAGUAGCUGGGAUUACAGGUGCCCGCCACCACACCUGGCCGAGAUCACACCACUGCACUCCAGCCUGGGUAACAGAGCCAGACCUCUUGUCUCAAAACAAAAAAAAGGAAACCCAUCAGUUUAUUUUUUCUUUUUUGGGCACCCUCUAGGAUUUUGUUUGAACAAGCUCUUAUAUCUGUGGUUUCAGAAUUAGAUAUUUAAUUCUCUUCAGAUAUUAAUUUUCUUCAAGUAGUGUUUUUGCAGGUUUAAACAAGUGACCCCAAACCAGUGUCCCUAAUUUGCCUUAUCUGAUUGGCAAACAUGUUGGCUUAUUCUGUAAGAGACCAUUGAAUUUGUUAUGAGUAUUUCAAAAAAUUUCACAUAAACCCCUGGAUUUCCAGCUUCUUUUGAUACAACAGAAAAUCUGCCCAGGUGCAGUGGUUCACACUUGUAAUCCCAGCACUUUGGGAGGCUGAGGUGGGUGGAUCGCUUGAGCCCUGGAGUUCAAGACCAGCGGGGCAACAUGGAGAGACCCCAUCUGUAAAAAAAAAAAAAAAAAAAAAAAAAUUAGCUGGGCGUGGUGUUGCAUACCUGUAGUCCUAGCUAACUCAGGAGACUGAGGUAGGAGGAUUGCCUGAGCCUGGGAGGUCGAGGCUACAGUGAGCCAUGAUGGUGCCACUGCACUCCAGCCGAGGGGACAGAGUGAGACCCUGUCUGUCUCAAAGAAAAAGGAAAGAAAAUGCAGCCAUGGUGGCACCGUGGCUGCAUUCCCACAUGGCAGCAGUUGGCUGGCGAUGAGAAGUAGCUGCUUCCUUUUAGGUGUGGCCUUUGCUCUUGUUUGCUGGUAACCCCCACAGUUCCUGAGGGUCUCCCCACCAACAGCGGUGGGAACAGCACAACACUUGCACUUUUAAACAUAGAGUUAGUACUUUUUUCUUAGAAAAUAGCCCUUUUUUUUAUAGUAAAGAUGACAUGGCUGGGCAUGGUGGCUCAUGCCUGUAAUCCCAACACUGGGAGGCUGAGGAGGGCAGAUGAUGAGGUCAGGAGUUCGAAACCAGCCUGGCCGGCAUGGUGAAACCCCGUCUCUAACAAAAAUUAGCCGGGUAUGAUGGCACAUACCUGUAAUCCCAGCUACUCAGGAGGCUGAGGCAGGAGAAUUCCUUGAACUCGGGAGGUGGAGGUUGCAGUGAGCCAAGAUCGCACCACUGCACUCCAGCCCGGGCGACAGAGCGAAACUCUGUCUUGGGGAAAAAAAAAAAAAAGGAUGACAUUUUAAUAUUUCUUAUGCAUUUGUCUCUUCCACAAGUGGAAAGACAAAGUAUAGAACAAGACAUCCACACUUUUCAAGAAAAAUGGGAGAGAGCCUAUUUUUUUUUGUGGAAGUAAAGAAUGUUCCUACAUGUUGAAUAUGCAAAGUCUGUCUGUGUUGAAAGAGCAUACCCUAAGACACUAUUAUGAAACAAACCAUAGCAAGAACCACGAUGGAUAUACAGAAAAGAUGCGUGACAAAAAACUUAACAAACUGAAAAAAAGACUGAGAUUUCAACAUGACUUGCUUUUGAAUGUGAAUAAAAUAGGUGAUGCUGCUAUGGAGUGUAGUUAUAUAUUAAGUGAGAAAAUUGCCCGGGCAUCAAAACCUUUUACAGAUGGGGAGUUUAUAAAAGAAUGCUUGUUGAAUGCAGCAGAAAUUAUGUGCCCUGAACAGAGACAAGCAUUUGCAAAUAUAAGACUAACUGGUAACAUUAUUGCUCAGCAUGUUGAUGAUAUGGCUGAAAACUUACAGGACAGGUUUCAAGAAAAAGUGAAAUCAUUUGUGGCUUUCUCUAUCGCAGCUCAUGGGAACACUGAUAUAAAUAAUGCUCCCCAGUUGGCUGUGUUCAUUCGUGGUGUUGAUGAAACUUUUGAUGUGACCGAAGAACUUUUAGAUAUGGUACCCAUAACAGGCACAGCAUCAGGAAAUGACAUAUUUUUAUGUGUUGAGAAAAGUCUUAAAAAAUUUAAUGUAGACUGGUCAAAAUUAGUAAGUGUUAGCACAGAUGGUAAUUCUGCAAUGGUUGGUGUUAAACAACUUGUUACAAAACUAAAUCUAAGGUGGCAGGGCUUUGCAAAGGCACAGAACUUAAGUGUGUGCAUGGCCUCAUUCUCCAGGAAUCACUUUGUGCUAAAAAGUUAAAAAUGGAUCACGUCAUGGACAUAGUAAUUUACAGCAUAACCUGGAUACAUUCCCAUGGCUCAAACCACAGAAAGUUCAACACUUUGUUCAGUGAGUUAGAUGCACAAUAUGGAAGCCUGUUCUGUGACAUGGAAGUGAAGUGGCUGAGUCGUGGUAUGGUGCUAAAGUAGUUUUUUGAACUGUUGGAAGAAAUUGACUUUUUCAUGUCCUCUAAAGGAAAAUCUGUGCCUCAGCUCACUAGCAAAAAUUGGGUCAAAGACUUAGCCUUUUUGAUUAACAUUACAACACAUCUAAAUACAUUGGAUAUUUCUCUGCAAAGACAUUCACAAGUGGUUACACAAAUGUAUGAUUCAAUUCACUAAUUCCUAGCAAAAUUGUGUCUUUGGGAAACUCAUUUGACAAGGAACAAUCUGGCCCACUUCCCUACACUGAAAUUAGUUUCUGAAAAUGAAAGCGAUGGCCUGAACUAUAUUCCAAAAAUUAAAGAAUUGAAGACUGAAUUCCAAAAAAGAUUAUCUGAUUGCAAACUUUAUGAAAAUGAACUGAUAUUGUUCAGUUCACCUUUCUUGAUGAAUAUUAAUCAUGUGAAUGCAGAGCUGCAAAUGGAAGUUAUUGAAUUGCAGUGCAACACUAUACUGAAAACUAAAUAUGAUGAUGUGCGAAUCCCAGAAUUCUACAAAUUCCUAGGUAGUGGUUACCCUAAAUAUAAAAAACAUUGUGCAAAGAUUCUGUGCAUGUUUGGAAAUACCUAUGUUUAUGAGCAGCUAUUUUCUCUUAUGAAACUAAGUAAAACUAAAUAUUGCUCCCAGUUAAAGGAAAGGUGAAUUCUCUGCUGCACGUUGCUAUGCAAGAUUCACAACCUGAUGCUGAUUGAUAUCUUGGGCCCUAAGAAAGGAAUGUUAGAUUUCGGAUUUCAAAUCUGAGAAGUAAUAAAUUACGAAACUUGGGAUAAUUAUUUCUAUUUUCAAAUUAUAUUUUUUCAAUAUGAAGUUUAGAGUACAAUCUCUGGCAUUAUAUAUGUUUGUUAAAUCUUAUACCAUAUAAAAUAAAGUUGGAUUAUACUUUUGGUGGUUUUUUACACCUCACCUUUCUGGCCUUUUUUCAAGUUUAUAAACCUCUGCCCUAAAAGAAGCCACAUUUUUCUUAAAGGCACUUGUGAGCCUGGGAUGUGAACAAAGGAGUCAGGUGGAUGAACUGAAUGUUUGGACACCUUGUGCGACCCUAUCCCUAAGCACGACAGACCUGCCACAGUCAUCUUGGGGUUCAGGCCAGGGUAACUAACCUCCUUCCCUGUACAGGCUGGGUGUCAGAGCCAUUGGACUUUUUUGUGGUGCUUCCAUUUGGAUUUACACACUUCUUUCGAAGUUCCAACAUUGUUGGUCAGCUUACAGUUAGUGUGGCUGGCCCAGAAACAUUCUGCCUCUUACAGGCAGGGAUGCUUGUUCCUUUGGCAUUGGGGCACCCAGGGGAGUGCACAAUGGGGUGUCGAUGUGUGAAAGAGCAGAUGAGCAUUUUUCCAGGGAGAAGGCCUGUAGCUGCCAGCAGAGUCUUAGGUCUGUGACUCAAACAGUGUUUUUCCACUGACAUAGCGAGAUGUCUACUCACUACUGUAGAAGCCAUAUCUUAAAAAAUUAGUCUAGCCAGGCGUGGUGGCUCACACCUGUAAUCCCAGCACUUUGGGAGGCCGAGACAGGCAGAUCACCUGAGGUCAGGAGUUUGAGACCAGCCUGGCCAACAUGGUGAAAUCCGGUCUCUACUAAAAAUACGAAAAUCAGCUGGGCGUGGUGGCAGGCACCUGUAGUCCCAGCUACUCAGGAGGCUGAGGCAGGAGAAUCUCUUGAACCCAGGGGGCAGAAGUUGCAGUGAGCUGAGAUCACAC